GCAAAUGAAAUGAAAACUUCAUAGCCCAAGGCAACUCUGUGGAUCAGAAGCUGCGGGCCAAAUCCUGGAGGAGGAGGAGCCCGGGGUGAUGCAGCGGAUGGAGCACCACCCGGCAGGACGGAGGGGGUCUUUGAGGAGAACUGUUUUGCCAUAAAGGAGCUUGCUGUCCCGAAUUUUCCUUUGGGUGGUGGAGUCUGCCCUGGGUGCUGGGAGAUCCAUAGCUCAUCUGGACCGGCCCGAAGUCCCUGAACUGCCCUCUUUGGUGGGCACCCAGGGGCAUCUGAAGGUGGAGAUUUUGAUAUUCUGCACUUUACUGAGCAAGGGAAACUUACCUUCAGGAUCAGUACCCUGAGAACAGGUCACAAUUUAUAAUGACACCUUAGAAAGUGACAGGAAGGCCUGGAAACCCAAGAACCAGGAUUCAAUUGGUGCAUCCUCCUUUUAUUUUUAAGGUGAGUGGGAUUGGAUUUUUUAUUCACUUCACUUGUGUCAAUUUUUCACUGAUAAAAGUGAGCGGACGCCUCAUGUUUACCUCUUCCACCUUGUGGGACAAGCUGGGACAGAGUAGGGCAAGAUGAAGAGGGAUCCUGUCCAUCACCCACUAGGGGUAGGGGGAGGGGUUUAUCUCUUCCCUUCCCACCGAGGACACAAGUUCACAGAACAAAAACAUUAAAAAUCUCCCUUGAGUGAGAACUGAGUUACAUAAAGGCUUUAGUAAGGCUUAUUAAGUUCCUUACAAAUCUUAACUCAUUGGCUCCUCAUUUCAGCCCUACAAGGCACUAUUAUUAUUGCUCCAUUUUACAGACAAGAAGACUGAGGUGUAGAAAGCCAA
rnacentral:lncRNA from 1 species